UCAGAUUGAACGCUGGCGGCAUGCCUUACACAUGCAAGUCGAACGGCAGCGCGGGAGCAAUCCUGGCGGCGAGUGGCGAACGGGUGAGUAAUACAUCGGAACGUGCCCAAUCGUGGGGGAUAACGCAGCGAAAGCUGUGCUAAUACCGCAUACGAUCUACGGAUGAAAGCAGGGGAUCGCAAGACCUUGCGCGAAUGGAGCGGCCGAUGGCAGAUUAGGUAGUUGGUGAGGUAAAGGCUCACCAAGCCUUCGAUCUGUAGCUGGUCUGAGAGGACGACCAGCCACACUGGGACUGAGACACGGCCCAGACUCCUACGGGAGGCAGCAGUGGGGAAUUUUGGACAAUGGGCGCAAGCCUGAUCCAGCCAUGCCGCGUGCAGGAUGAAGGCCUUCGGGUUGUAAACUGCUUUUGUACGGAACGAAACGGCCUUUUCUAAUAAAGAAGGCUAAUGACGGUACCGUAAGAAUAAGCACCGGCUAACUACGUGCCAGCAGCCGCGGUAAUACAUAGGGUGCAAGCGUUAAUCGGAAUUACUGGGCGUAAAGCGUGCGCAGGCGGUAAUGUAAGACAGUUGUGAAAUCCCCGGGCUCAACCUGGGAACUGCAUCUGUGACUGCAUUGCUGGAGUACGGCAGANGGGGAUGGAAUUCCGCGUGUAGCAGUGAAAUGCGUAGAUAUGCGGANGAACACCGAUGGC
rnacentral:rRNA from 1 species